rnacentral:misc_RNA from 1 species
GAUGAAGAACGCAGCAAAAUGCGAUAAGUAAUGUGAAUUGUAGAAUUCAGUGAAUCAUCGAAUCUUUGAACGCACAUUGCGCCCGCCAGUAUUCUGGCGGGCAUGCCUGUUCGAGCGUCAUUUCAACCCUCAAGCUCAGCUUGGUGUUGGGACUCGCGGUAACCCGCGUUCCCCAAAUCGAUUGGCGGUCACGUCGAGCUUCCAUAGCGUAGUAAUCAUACACCUCGUUACUGGUAAUCGUCGCGGCCACGCCGUAAAACCCCAACUUCUGAAUGUUGACCUCGGAUCAGGUAGGAAUACCCGCUGAACUUAAGCAUAUCAAUAAGCGGAGGA